AACAUGGAGCAGAAGAGACUUCAAUACUUUCAUCAGGGCCUGUGAGAAAUAUGGCCGUAAUGAUAUAAAAUGUAUUGCUACGGAAAUUUAAGGGAAAACAGAGGAGGAAGUUGAAAGAUAUGCUAAAGUUUUCUAAGAGAGAUACAAAGAAUUAAAUGAUUAUGAUAGGAUCAUCAAGAACAUUGAGAGAGGAGAGGCCAGAAUUUCCCCGAGAGAUGAGAUCAUGAAAGCAAUUGGGAAAAAAUUGGAUCGUUACAAGAACCCAUGGUUGGAGUUAAAAAUCCAAUAUGGUCAGAACAAGGGCAAGUUUUACAAUGAGGAAUGCGAUUGUUUUAUGGUGUGCAUGGUUCACAAGAUAGGGUAUGGAAACUGGGAUGACUUGAAAGCAGCUUUCCACACAUCAACUUUGUUUCGUUUUGAUUGGUUCGUCAAGUCUCGAACUGCCCAGGAAUUGGCAAGGAGAUGUGAUACACUUAUUCGGCUAAUUGAGAAGGAAAACCAAUAAUUUGAUGAGAGGGAGAGGCAAACCCGCAAGGAAAAGAAACUUGCCAAGACGAAUAUGCCAUCAAAGCGGGCGCCAGCAAGGCAGGCUGCAGAGAGCCCUCCUACUUCAA